rnacentral:rRNA from 1 species
UACGGGGGGGGUAAGCGUUGUUCGGAAUUACUGGGCGUAAAGGGCUCGUAGGCGGCCAACUAAGUCAGACGUGAAAUCCCUCAGCUUAACUGGGGAACUGCGUCUGAUACUGGAUGGCUUGGAUUCGGGAGAGGAAUGCGGAAUUCCAGGUGUAGCGGUGAAAUGCGUAGAUAUCUGGAGGAACACCGGUGGCGAAGGCGGCAUUCUGGACCGAUAUUGACGCUGAGGAGCGAAAGCCAGGGGAGCAAAGCGGG